UACGUAGGGUGCAAGCGUUGUCCGGAAUUAUUGGGCGUAAAGAGCUCGUAGGCGGCUUGUCGCGUCGGCUGUGAAAACCUGGGGCUCAACCCCGGGCCUGCAGUCGAUACGGGCGGACUUGAGUACUGCAGGGGAGACUGGAAUUCCUGGUGUAGCGGUGAAAUGCGCAGAUAUCAGGAGGAACACCGAUGGCGAAGGCAGGUCUCUGGGCAUUAACUGACGCUGAGGAGCGAAAGCAUGGGGAGCGAACAGG
rnacentral:rRNA from 1 species